UAACGCAAUUAAGGUAAUGCAGGCCGCUUACAGAUGAGGUGAAGAAGUCUCCUGUCUUGACACCGGAACCUCCUCACUUCUCGGUGGCGAUGCCAACUUCAGCCCGUGGAUGCUUUUCUCCUUAGGAGCAGGAUCAAUUUGAUGCCCCAUAAAUCUUAUUAGGUAUUCUGUUCGUUCCUCAGAGAAGUAUCAUGAGGGUUAAUUAUUUUUCUGCUCUGACUCAGACAGUGAUUUUGUGCCAGAGGAUUCUGGCAGUGAGUAUAAUCCUAGUGAUACCCUCAGUGAGGAAACCAUUGUUAACGAUGUUGAUGAGGAAGCGCUAAUGGAAGCUGUACCACAGCCUGAUAUAGAAAUUGAGAGACCUAAGGCAAACAAAGGGAAGAGGCUGGAAACCUUGUUUGCUGCCUUCUGCAGCAAAUCUUACAAAAAAUAACUCUUUGUCUUCUUUCCUCUCCCCCCCCUACCCCCCCCCUCCCCACCCUAUCCAAAUGCAGGCUGCAGAAUGGCUCUCCUGAGGCUGAGCUGUGCUAGAGGGAGGGAGGAGAUGUGCUGCUGAAGUGCUGGUGCCAGUGCCGAUCGUCAUUCCCCUGGGAAGACACGCAGCAAGGAGCACGUUUCAAAGAGGCCAUUGCUUCAAAGGAGAAGACAAGGAUUUCCCUCGCUGCUGGGUGUUAGGAACAGGCUUGCAAAUCUUGCACUGCUUCUCCUUCUGUUCUGUGUUUUUCACCCUAUCAGCCACCUCUUGUGGAAAGGGACAAGGCUUCUCAUCUUUCCAGCAUUUUUUUUUUUGUCUGAGCAUGUUCUCUUAUCAUCGCAUCGCGCAGCUCGCAUUACUGAUGACUUUGUGAAUGCACCAGCCCUACCAGAUGCUAAUGGUUAUGGUUGCUACCAGCUCAGGUUGGUUCUAAACUGUGAACAGAUCAUCAAAGAAGGCCAAAGUGAUCUUGCAUAAGCGCUGCUGCCCUAGGACACUGACUGUAGUAAGACAUAUGAAGAUCUCAGCUCCUUUUUCCUCCUAAAUACAAACAGACUUUCCAAAGAAGCAAAGACUGCAAAGCAGGGAGAUUGUUCCAGAGAAGAUGGGGGAAACCUCGCUGUGAGAGGAAGGAUUAUUUCACUUUUUGAAGCUUUUGGAUUCCCCAAAUGCCCCAAGAACAUGAGUCACGCAUCCUCCUCAUGACGCUGUGUUAAGGGUGAUCCACGUUGAUGAGAUGUGACCAGCAUCCAAAAAGCCUUCGUUGGUGGGGUGGUGUGGAGAGGAGGCACACAAAUACCCCUCAGCCUGCGCUGCCUGCGCUCUUGGAGACUUCUCAGUUCUGGUCCUGAGCAGCAGAAAAUGCAAGAGGGAGGACCACAAAGUGGCUUUGGGGUCUUCUGAGCUGCUUGGGUCUGGAGGACAGCCUGCGCUGCCUGCGCUCUUGGAGACUUCUCAGUUCUGGUCCUGAGCAGCAGAAAACGCAAGAGGGAGGACCACAAAGGGGUCUUCUGAGCUGCUUGGGUCUGGAGGAAGGAGGGUAUGAACAUGGUCCUUGGACACAGAUGAGAAGAGCCAUUAUGUGAGUUGUCAGAGGCCUCUGGUGUGACACCACCAGCUACAAAGGCUUUCUGCCACGUGGUUUUUUGUCGUUGCCAGAAGAAGGGAGAGCGGUGGGAGGCGAUGCGGAGGGGCAUCAACACCCGUGCUGUGCCACUGGAGGAUCCUGUCACCGAGACAGAUAAUGGUGGAAUUGCACAAAGUGACUUGGACACAUGGAACAGUUACGACUUGAGAGUGUGCCGACCCACCACGAGAGAUUACAGAUUUCUCAAUGCAUAAUUCAGUAUCAUAAACAUGUACACGACACUAACUCGUUCUUCUGCUAGGCUACUUUAAUUUCUUGGCUAUAACAUCACUAAAUUGACCUAGAAAGAAAAAGGCACCCAACAUUUAUAAUUUAUUUCUGCCCUAUAUC
rnacentral:lncRNA from 1 species